GGGGGUGUAACUCAGUGGUAGAGUGUUUGCUUCGCAUGCUGAAAGUCCUGGGUUCAAAUCCCAGCAACUCCA
rfam:Operophtera brumata OBRT01_Sc04126, whole genome shotgun sequence.